UGGGGGUGGCUCUGUGGUUAAGGCAUUGGGCUAGUGAUCAGAAGCUUGUGAGUUCAAAUCCCAGCCUCACUAA